rnacentral:misc_RNA from 1 species
GAUGAAGAACGUAGCGAAAUGCGAUACGUAAUGUGAAUUGCAGAAUUCAGUGAAUCAUCGAGUCUUUGAACGCACAUUGCGCCCCCUGGUAUUCCGGGGGGCAUGCCUGUCCGAGCGUCAUUGCUGCCCUCAAGCACGGCUUGUGUGUUGGGCCUCCGUCCUCCUCCCGGGGGACGGGCCCGAAAGGCAGCGGCGGCACCGCGUCCGGUCCUCGAGCGUAUGGGGCUUCGUCACCCGCUCUUGUAGGCCCGGCCGGCGCUUGCCGACACAUCAAUCUUUUUUCCAGGUUGACCACGGAUCAGGUAGGGAUACCCGCUGAACUUAAGCAUAUCAAUAAGCGGAGGA